CGCGGCGAGAUCGAAGAGUGGAGAGCAGUGCCUUGGAAGCACUGAGAAGCAGGUGCGACUCCUGCCGCCGCGACCA
rnacentral:tRNA from 1 species